rnacentral:rRNA from 1 species
AGCGAACGCUGGCGGCAGGCUUAACACAUGCAAGUCGAGCGGGCGUAGCAAUACGUCAGCGGCAGACGGGUGAGUAACGCGUGGGAACGUACCUUUUGGUUCGGAACAACACAGGGAAACUUGUGCUAAUACCGGAUAAGCCCUUACGGGGAAAGAUUUAUCGCCGCAAGAUCGGCCCGCGUCUGAUUAGCUAGUUGGUGAGGUAACGGCUCACCAAGGCGACGAUCAGUAGCUGGUCUGAGAGGAUGAUCAGCCACAUUGGGACUGAGACACGGCCCAAACUCCUACGGGAGGCAGCAGUGGGGAAUAUUGGACAAUGGGGGCAACCCUGAUCCAGCCAUGCCGCGUGAGUGAUGAAGGCCCUAGGGUUGUAAAGCUCUUUUGUGCGGGAAGAUAAUGACGGUACCGCAAGAAUAAGCCCCGGCUAACUUCGUG